rnacentral:rRNA from 1 species
AACGAACGCUGGCGGCAGGCUUAACACAUGCAAGUCGAACGCCCCGCAAGGGGAGUGGCAGACGGGUGAGUAACACGUGGGGAUCUGCCCAAUGGUACGGAAUAAUUCCGGGAAACUGGGACUAAUACCGUAUGUGCCCGCAAGGGGAAAGAUUUAUCGCCAUUGGAUGAACCCGCGUCGGAUUAGCUAGUUGGUGAGGUAAAGGCUCACCAAGGCGACGAUCCGUAGCUGGUCUGAGAGGAUGAUCAGCCACACUGGGACUGAGACACGGCCCAGACUCCUACGGGAGGCAGCAGUGGGGAAUAUUGGACAAAGGGCGCAAGCCUGAUCCAGCCAUGCCGCGUGAGUGAUGAAGGCCUUAGGGUUGUAAAGCUCUUUCGCCGACGAAGAUAAUGACGGUAGUCGGAGAAGAAGCCCCGGCUAACUUCGUGCCAGCCGCCGCCGUAAGA